CCUACGGGUGGCAGCAGUGAGGAAUAUUGGUCAAUGGGCGGAAGCCUGAACCAGCCAAGUAGCGUGCAGGAUGACGGCCCUACGGGUUGUAAACUGCUUUUAUACGGGAAUAACGCGCCUUACGUGUAGGGCUUUGUAGGUACCGUAUGAAUAAGGACCGGCUAAUUCCGUGCCAGCAGCCGCGGUAAUACGGAGGGUCCGGGCGUUAUCCGGAUUUAUUGGGUGUAAAGGGAGCGUAGGCCGCAGGGCAAGCGUGCUGUGAAAGGUCCGGGCGCAACCCGGGCCUUGCAGCGCGAACUGGCGUGCUUGAGUCCGCGGAAAGCAGGCGGAAUUCGUCGUGUAGCGGUGAAAUGCUUAGAUAUGACGAAGAACCCCGAGUGCGAAGGCAGCUUGCUGCAGCGGAACUGACGCUGAUGCUCGAAAGCGCGGGUAUCGAACAGGAUUAGAUACCCCGGUAGUC
rnacentral:rRNA from 1 species